GGGAAAUGUGCCUUCCGGGCCUGUGGCUGAGGGCGGAGGGAGUCAGGAGGAUCUCCUGUUGGUCCCUUCUCUUUCUCACUCUCUCUCUCCAUCUUUGUCCUGAGGACAGGGGGUAUAUAACCAGCAUAUAACCUGGAAGACAGAGGACGGGGGCCUAGGACUUCACUCUUACACGAAUGGAUUGCCUGUGGGAAAGGCCAACUCUAAGCUUUCAGAUAGGAUGGCCCAACUCAUCCAGGUUGGAGGUGAAACUUUCUGCUGUUUUACAAGACAAGCUUUUUUAUCUCCCCGCCCCAGGAACCUGUUUUGGGAGGAGGGGUUAAGGAUUCAAAACUCACAGUAUGUCAGAGGUGAAAGGGACCUUGGAUUGUCGGUCCAGUCCUUCACUUUACAAAUGAAUAAACUGAGGCUCACAGAGGAAGCAACUUGCCCAAGAUCCCUCAGCUGGCGCAGUAUUAAGCACCAGGAACACAAAGAUGAACAAGGCAUAGUGCCCAUCCUUGAAGAUUUACACGCAGCCAGCAAGGGAGCUUCUGGAGUUCUUUCUGCAGGAAUGAGAAGGAGGUUGAAUUCCCCCCUUCUCCCUUCUAAGUGUGACUUCCCACCUCAACUCGACCUAACUUGGACCCUCAGAUCUUGGCUCAACACGACACUCCUUCUGCUGGCCAUGCUUCCUCGCUUUGAGUCCACCAUUGCAGAAGAGUAGGCUGCCCUGAUCGCAGCUGCCACUCCUUCAGUCUGAAGAAGGAAAACGAAAGGAAGGCGUGGGGGAGAUGUAUUCCCAAAAAGAAAAAACUCUCUCCUCCUUGAUGUGUCAUGAAAGAUGCACAGGAUUUAAUGUCAGAAGACACAUACCAGACACGCAACUCUUCACUUAUGGUCUGUGUGAUCCCAGCCCCACUGAGCCUCAGUUUCCUUCCCUGUAAAAACUAAAUACAAAAGCUGUUUCAUUUAGUUGUUGUGAAGAUUAAUUUGAAAAAACAUAUGAACGAUCAUAACAAAGAGGCAAAUACUACACUGAGGCUACUACUGUUCUUUUCUCUUCCUGUUCCCCUCACACCUCUCAAGCGCAGGCAGGCCCGGGCCAAACCUGGGGAAAG
rnacentral:lncRNA from 1 species